GAUGAACGCUGGCGGCGUGCCUAAUACAUGCAAGUCGAACGCACAGCGAAAGGUGCUUGCACCUUUCAAGUGAGUGGCGAACGGGUGAGUAACACGUGGACAACCUGCCUCAAGGCUGGGGAUAACAUUUGGAAACAGAUGCUAAUACCGAAUAAAACUUAGUGUCGCAUGACACAAAGUUAAAAGGCGCUUCGGCGUCACCUAGAGAUGGAUCCGCGGUGCAUUAGUUAGUUGGUGGGGUAAAGGCCUACCAAGACAAUGAUGCAUAGCCGAGUUGAGAGACUGAUCGGCCACAUUGGAACUGAGACACGGCCCAAACUCCUACGGGAGGCUGCAGUAGGGAAUCUUCCACAAUGGGCGAAAGCCUGAUGGAGCAACGCCGCGUGUGUGAUGAAGGCUUUCGGGUCGUAAAGCACUGUUGUAUGGGAAGAACAGCUGGAAUAGGAAAUGAUUUUAGUUUGACGGUACCAUACCAGAAAGGGACGGCUAAAUACGUG
rnacentral:rRNA from 1 species